rnacentral:rRNA from 3 species
UAAGGGAUAUUGCACAAUGGGGGAAACCCUGAUGCAGCAACGCCGCGUGGGUGAAGAAGGCUUUCGAGUCGUAAAACCCUUUUCUAGGGGAAGAGGAAGGACAGUACCCUAGGAACAAGUCUCGGCUAACUACGUGCCAGCAGCCGCGGUAAGACGUAGGAGGCGAGCGUUAUCCGGAUUCAUUGGGCGUAAAGGGCAAGUAGGCGGUUGUCAAAGUUGGGCGUGACAUCUCCUGGCUCAACUAGGAGAGGUCGUUCAAAACUAGGCAACUAGAGGGCAGAAGAGGAAAGCGGAACUCCUGAUGUAGCGGUGGAAUGCUCAGAUAUCAGGAAGAACACCAGUGGCGAAGGCGGCUUUCUGGUCUGCACCUGACGCUGAGAGGCGAAGGCCAGGGUAGCGAACGGG